rnacentral:rRNA from 1 species
AUUGAACGCUGGCGGCAGGCCUAACACAUGCAAGUCGAGCGGAUGAAGGGAGCUUGCUCCUGGAUUCAGCGGCGGACGGGUGAGUAAUGCCUAGGAAUCUGCCUGGUAGUGGGGGAUAACGUCCGGAAACGGGCGCUAAUACCGCAUACGUCCUGAGGGAGAAAGUGGGGGAUCUUCGGACCUCACGCUAUCAGAUGAGCCUAGGUCGGAUUAGCUAGUUGGUGGGGUAAAGGCCUACCAAGGCGACGAUCCGUAACUGGUCUGAGAGGAUGAUCAGUCACACUGGAACUGAGACACGGUCCAGACUCCUACGGGAGGCAGCAGUGGGGAAUAUUGGACAAGGGGGGAAAGCCUGAUCCAGCCAUGCCGCGUGUGUGAAGAAGGUCUUCGGAUUGUAAAGCACUUUAAGUUGGGAGGAAGGGCAGUAAGUUAAUACCUUGCUGUUUUGACGUUACCAACAGAAUAAGCACCGGCUAACUUCG